AGUGAACGCUGGCGGUAGGCCUAACACAUGCAAGUCGAACGGCAGCACAGUAAGAGCUUGCUCUUACGGGUGGCGAGUGGCGGACGGGUGAGGAAUACAUCGGAAUCUACUUUUUCGUGGGGGAUAACGUAGGGAAACUUACGCUAAUACCGCAUACGACCUACGGGUGAAAGCAGGGGAUCUUCGGACCUUGCGCGAUUGAAUGAGCCGAUGUCGGAUUAGCUAGUUGGCGGGGUAAAGGCCCACCAAGGCGACGAUCCGUAGCUGGUCUGAGUGGAUGAUCAGCCACACUGGAACUGAGACACGGUCCAGACUCCUACGGGAGGCAGCAGUGGGGAAUAUUGGACAAUGGGCGCAAGCCUGAUCCAGCCAUACCGCGUGGGUGAAGAAGGCCUUCUGGUUGUAAAGCCCUUUUGUUGGGAAAGAAAAGCAGCAGGUUAAUACCCCGCUGUUCUGACGGUACCCAAAGAAUAAGCACCGGCUAACUUCGUG
rnacentral:rRNA from 1 species